UUGGUUGGCCUCGCAGUAGAUAUCCACCAGGCUUUUGGGAACAACUGACUUUAUUUUUGUAUAUUCCGGCACUGGUGGUGUGCAUUUGAAUCCAGUCUUUGUGCAGUUGGACGAGAAGGAGCAAAUGUAUCCUGCGACAUUAGCAUCUUUCGCUAGCUGCCCGCCACUUGUAAUCAACAGGUCGAGUGGACCUGCUUAUGCUUCCAUGACAGUUACCAUAGCCCCACCUGCUGGCUCGACCGGAACACGACAGCUCUUUCACUGAAGAAAUAUUUCAUUCAACUCAUGUCCAUGUUUCAUAGAGAGAUUGACCCUGAAGUGACACUAGAAUUAAACACUGUCAUGUCCGGGUAUGGCCCACUUUUCAUGCUGUUUUUUUUUUUAAGUCAAAUACACAAGCUAAUUAAAUGUAAAUCCAAUUUGGUUGGGUUGUUUUCCACUGCCACGCUUAUCAGUCAAGCUGUCAAAAAAAGUAAAAC